rnacentral:rRNA from 1 species
UACGAAGGGGGCGAGCGUUGUUCGGAAUUACUGGGCGUAAAGGGCGCGCAGGCGGCUCUGAAAGUCAGAUGUGAAAGCCCCGGGCUUAACCUGGGAACUGCAUUUGAUACUUUAGAGCUUGAGUACGGGAGAGGAGAGUGGAAUUCCCAGUGUAGAGGUGAAAUUCGUAGAUAUUGGGAAGAACACCGGUGGCGAAGGCGGCUCUCUGGACCGUAACUGACGCUGAGGCGCGAAAGCGUGGGGAGCAAACAGG